GACUUAACACCUCAGUGUGAAUUAGUUUACCAUCUGAUCCUGUUGUCUCUGAUCUAGGGAGAAGCAGGUUCAGAUAAAGAAAGGAAAAGGAGAGCCUCCACCCCAGGAAUUCUGCAGUGAGUGCCAGGCCAUGGAGGAAGAGGUUGUGUGCCAGAACUUGUGGGCUUAGAAGAGAGACAAAGGAAAGGCUAUGAAUUGACUCUUCUUCAGAGGAAAAAGGCCAAUGAUAUCCUGACAACCGGAAAGAAUGCCAUUCUCUUGGCUGAUAGUCUGCAUAUGGAGGAACAACAUUUCACACACAGAUGGAAGGGAAAGUUCAUCUUCCUCAGUAUAACUGCUCCUAUGGCAAAAAAAGGUCAUUUAAUCACAUGGGAGCAGCUAGACAAGAUGAUAAUAUAAAGCAGGAUUCUGUGUGCUUCUAAAUCAUCGGGGCUUUAUCAGCUGCCCCUACACCACUCAAGGAUGGGAAACCCUGAGACGGUUAAACAGAAACAUCAAAGAAUAAAGGAUGGAUGUGCCUGUUGUCCUUUUGUAUA
rnacentral:lncRNA from 1 species